GUGGUAAUAAGCAUUGUGUUCAAGUUUCUUAACAUUUGAUAACGGCAAAAUAAAGUAAACUUAAAGGUAAACUAAAAUUAGAGAACAGAAACCAAACACUUUUAUAUUUGCAAAGGGGCAUACCUCUAGAAUACCUAAGGUGACGCCUAAAAUUUAAACAUGAUCUGUGCUUUGUGGUAAUGAGCAUUGUGUAUAAGUUUCAUAACAUUUGGUUC
rnacentral:lncRNA from 1 species